UAUUUUUUAUUGACUGUUGAUCUUCUUGCCUCAGAUUCUUAUGGAUGGCACAUGGCUUCUCCUCCCUUGGAUGUAGCAAAUUGAUGAAAACCAUUAGAUGCUCUUCCUAGCUCUUGAAUGUAUUUGAGUUCAAGCUGGAUUAGACCAAAUUAAGCCUAAUUGAAUCCAAUCUUCAAUUUACCUGCAAAAUGAGUUGGAAAACAUCAAAUUCAAACUAGUACAUGUUAAUUAAUGAUGUUUUGAGUGUGUUUAAUAUAUUAAUUUAAGUAUUGAUCAGUUGGAU
rnacentral:lncRNA from 1 species